UGGGGACCGGGUCUUCUGAGUCCGCAGCACUCAGGCUACGUGUGCCUCCGCAGCAGGUGCAGGCCCAGCAGUCCCUA
rfam:Oryzias latipes DNA, chromosome9, strain: Hd-rR.